rnacentral:siRNA from 1 species
UGUCCGAUAUAUGACAGAUGGUAU